CAGGCCUAACACAUGCAAGUCGGACGAGAAGGUUCCUUCGGGAACUGGAGAGUGGCGCACGGGUGAGUAACGCGUGGGGACCUACCUCUUAGUGGGGGAUAACGGUUGGAAACGGCCGCUAAUACCGCAUACGCCCUUCGGGGGGAAGAUUUAUCGCUAAGAGAUGGACCCGCGUUGGAUUAGAUAGUUGGUGAGGUAACGGCUCACCAAGUCAGCGAUCCAUAGCUGGUUUGAGAGGAUGAUCAGCCACACUGGG
rnacentral:rRNA from 1 species